rnacentral:rRNA from 1 species
CCUACGGGAGGCAGCAGUGGGGAAUAUUGCGCAAUGGGGGAAACCCUGACGCAGCAACGCCGCGUGAGUGAGGAAGGACUUCGGUCUGUAAAGCUCUGUUAAUGUGGAAAAAUGGUUAGUGGUCUAAUAGGCCAUUGAUUUGAUGGUACACAUAGAGGAAGCACCGGCUAACUUCGUGCCAGCAGCCGCGGUAAUACGAAGGGUGCAAGCGUUGUUCGGAUUUAUUGGGCGUAAAGCGCGCGUAGGCGGACCUGCAAGUCAGAUGUGAAAUCUCGGGGCUCAACCUCGAAACUGCGUCUGAAACUACAGGUCUAGAAUCUUGGAGGGGGAAGGGAAUUUCUCAUGUAGGGGUAAAAUCCGUAGAUAUGAGAAGGAACACCAGAGGCGAAGGCGCCUUCCUGGACAAGUAUUGACGCUGAGGCGCGAAAGCGUGGGGAUCAAACAGGAUUAGAUACCCUGGUAGUCCACGCUGUAAACGAUGAAUACUAGAUAUUGNAGAUUAGUACCCUCGCAGUGUCGUAGACUAACGACGUUAAGUUAGUUACCGUCCGUCGGAAGGUACGGUCGCGAACGAACGUAAAACGUUAAAAGUAAAGUUAGUACGCGUGAGACGUAGACCGAACGGACGACGACGAGGGAGGAGG